GUGAAUCAUCGAGUCUUUGAACGCACAUUGCGCCCUUUGGUAUUCCGAAGGGCAUGCCUAUUCGAGCGUCAUUAUCAACCCUCAAGCCCGGCUUGUUAUUGGGUCUCUUAUCGUGAAAGAUAGGCCCGAAAGAUAAUGGCGGCGUCGUGAAUGACCCCAGGUGCAGCGAGCUUAUAGCAUACACUGAGGUGGUCGUUUACGUCCCGGCCCUCCUGUUUGUCAAGUUUACUUCGACCAAUUUCAAAGGUUGACCUCGGAUUAGGUAGGAAUACCCGCUGAACUUAAGCAUAUCAAUAAGCGGAGG
rnacentral:rRNA from 1 species